GGAUGGCUCAAUGGUUAAGAGCACUGGCUGCUCUUCCAGAGGUCCUGAGUUCAAAUCUCAGCAACCA
rnacentral:tRNA from 1 species